UUAAUUGGCCCACGUCACGAUGGAUGGCGGUUUCGUUUGCGGCGAUGUGCGGAGGACCUCCUCCAUCUUGGAGCCGCCGUGUACCCGUAACGUAACGAUUGGGUCGGCCGACCU
rnacentral:rRNA from 1 species